UACGGAGGGUGCAAGCAUUAAUCGGAUUUAUUGGGCGUAAAGGGCGCGUAGGCGGGGAUGUAAGUCAGAUGUGAAAUCCCGGGGCUCAACCCCGGAACAGCAUUUGAAACUGCAUUUCUUGAGGGUAGGAGGAGAAAACGGAAUUCCACAUGUAGCGGUGAAAUGCGUAGAUAUGUGGAAGAACACCAGUGGCGAAGGCGGUUUUCUAUCUUAUUCCUGACGCUAAAGCGCGAAAGCAAGGGGAUCAAACAGG
rnacentral:rRNA from 1 species